GACGAACGCUGGCGGCGUGCUUAACACAUGCAAGUCGAACGGACAGACCAUGAUUGCAGGGUACUCACGUGGCGAACGGAUGAGUAACUAGCGGGUGGUUUGCCUUGCAAUUCGGCUUAAGCAUGGGAAACUGGGUCUAAUACCGGAUAGGAGCUAUUUUUAGUGGGAUGGUUGGAAAGUUUUGUCGGUGUUGGAUGUGAUCGCGGCCUAUCAGCUUGGUGGUGCGGUAAUGGCGUACGAAGGCGGCGACGGGUAGCCGGCCUGAGAGGGUGAACGGCCACAUUGGGACUGAGAGACGGCACAGACUCCGACGGGAGGCAGCAGUGGGGAAUAUUGCACAAUGGGCGCAAGCCGGAUGCAGCGACGCCGCGUGGGGGAUGACGGCCUUCGGGUUGUAAACUCCUUUCGCUAGUGACGAAGCUUUUUUUGACGGUACCUAGAUAAGAAGCACCGGCUAACUACGUG
rnacentral:rRNA from 1 species